rnacentral:tRNA from 1 species
GCGGGCGUGGCGGAAUCGGUAGACGCAAGGGACUUAAAAUCCCUCGAUGGCCUCAUCGUGCGGGUUCGAGUCCCGCCGCCCGCA